UACGUAGGGUGCAAGCGUUGUCCGGAAUUAUUGGGCGUAAAGAGAUUGUAGGCGGUUUGUCGCGUCUGCUGUGAAAUUUCGGGGCUCAACCCCGAACUUGCAGUGGGUACGGGCAGACUAGAGUGUGGUAGGGGAGACUGGAAUUCCUGGUGUAGCGGUGAAAUGCGCAGAUAUCAGGAGGAACACCGAUGGCGAAGGCAGGUCUCUGGGCCACUACUGACGCUGAGAAGCGAAAGCAUGGGGAGCGAACAGG
rnacentral:rRNA from 1 species